GUAGUUGUGGCCGAGUGGUUAAGGCGAUGAACUUGAAAUUCAUUGUGGUUUCUCCGCGCAGGUUCAAAUCCUGCUAGCUACG